UAGGGAAUCUUCCGCAAUGGACGCAAGUCUGACGGAGCAACGCCGCGUGAGUGAAGAAGGAUUUCGGUUCGUAAAACUCUGUUGUUAGAGAAGAACAGCGCAUAGAGUAACUGUUAUGCGUGUGACGGUAUCUAACCAGAAAGCCACGGCUAACUACGUGCCAGCAGCCGCGGUAAUACGUAGGUGGCAAGCGUUGUCCGGAUUUAUUGGGCGUAAAGCGAGCGCAGGCGGUCAAUUAAGUCUGAUGUGAAAGCCCCCAGCUCAACCGGGGAGGGUCAUUGGAAACUGGUUGACUUGAGUGCAGAAGAGGAGAGUGGAAUUCCAUGUGUAGCGGUGAAAUGCGUAGAUAUAUGGAGGAACACCAGUGGCGAAGGCGACUCUCUGGUCUGUAACUGACGCGGAGGCUCGAAAGCGUGGGUAGCAAACAGG
rnacentral:rRNA from 1 species